UCAUGGUCAUGGUCAUGGUAAUGGUCAUGGUCAUGGUCAUGGUCAUGGUCAUGGUCAUGGUCAUGGUCAUGGUCAUGGUCAUGGUCAUGGUCAUAG
rnacentral:pre_miRNA from 1 species